rnacentral:rRNA from 1 species
ACGACCGCAAGGUUGAAACUCAAAGGAAUUGACGGGGGCCCGCACAAGCAGUGGAGUAUGUUGUUUAAUUCGAAGCAACGCGAAGAACCUUACCAGGUCUUGACAUCCUAUGACCGCCUAAGAGAUUAGGUUUUCCCUUCGGGGACAUAGAGACAGGUGGUGCAUGGUUGUCGUCAGCUCGUGUCGUGAGAUGUUGGGUUAAGUCCCGCAACGAGCGCAACCCUUAUGUUUAGUUGCUACGCAAGAGCACUCUAGACAGACUGCCGUUGACAAAACGGAGGAAGGUGGGGAUGACGUCAAAUCAUCAUGCCCCUUAUGACCUGGGCUACAAACGUACUACAAUGGCCAUUAACAAAGGGAAGCGACCCGGCGACGGGAAGCAAAACUCGAAAAAUGGUCCCAGUUCAGAUUGCAGGCUGCAACUCGCCUGCAUGAAGGCGGAAUUGCUAGUAAUCGCGGAUCAGCAUGCCGCGGUGAAUACGUUCCCGGGCCUUGUACACACCGCCCGUCACACCAUGAGAGUUGGCAACACCCGAAGUCAGCAGGCUAACGCAAGAAGCCGCUGCCGAAGGUGGGGUUGACGAUUGGGGUGAAGUCGUAACAAGGUAAC